GGUUAAGCGACUAAGCGUACACGGUGGAUGCCACGGCAGUCAGAGGCGAUGAAGGGCGUGCUAAUCUGCGAUAAGCGCCGGUAAGGUGAUAUGAACCGUUAUAACCGGCGAUACCCGAAUGGGGAAACCCAGUGUGAUUCGUCACACUAUCAUUAACUGAAUCCAUAGGUUAAUGAGGCGAACCGGGGGAACUGAAACAUCUAAGUACCCCGAGGAAAAGAAAUCAACCGAGAUUCCCCCAGUAGCGGCGAGCGAACGGGGAGGAGCCCAGAGCCUGAAUCAGCAUGUGUGUUAGUGGAAGCGUCUGGAAAGGCGCGCGAUACAGGGUGACAGCCCCGUACACAAAAGCGCAUGUGCUGUGAGCUCGAUGAGUAGGGCGGGACACGUGGUAUCCUGUCUGAAUAUGGGGGGACCAUCCUCCAAGGCUAAAUACUCCUGACUGACCGAUAGUGAACCAGUACCGUGAGGGAAAGGCGAAAAGAACCCCGGCGAGGGGAGUGAAAAAGAACCUGAAACCGUGUACGUACAAGCAGUGGGAGCACAGGUUUACCUGUGUGACUGCGUACCUUUUGUAUAAUGGGUCAGCGACUUAUAUUCUGUAGCAAGGUUAACCGAAUAGGGGAGCCGGAGGGAAACCGAGUCUUAACCGGGCGUUAAGUUGCAGGGUAUAGACCCGAAACCCGGUGAUCUAGCCAUGGGCAGGUUGAAGGUUGGGUAACACUAACUGGAGGACCGAACCGACUAAUGUUGAAAAAUUAGCGGAUGACCUGUGGCUGGGGGUGAAAGGCCAAUCAAACCGGGAGAUAGCUGGUUCUCCCCGAAAGCUAUUUAGGUAGCGCCUCGUGAAUUCAUCUCCGGGGGUAGAGCACUGUUUCGGCUAGGGGGCCAUCCCGGCUUACCAACCCGAUGCAAACUGCGAAUACCGGAGAAUGUUAUCACGGGAGACACACGGCGGGUGCUAACGUCCGUCGUGAAGAGGGAAACAACCCAGACCGCCAGCUAAGGUCCCAAAGUCAUGGUUAAGUGGGAAACGAUGUGGGAAGGCCCAGACAGCCAGGAUGUUGGCUUAGAAGCAGCCAUCAUUUAAAGAAAGCGUAAUAGCUCACUGGUCGAGUCGGCCUGCGCGGAAGAUGUAACGGGGCUAAACCAUGCACCGAAGCUGCGGCAGCGACGCUGAUGCGUUGUUGGGUAGGGGAGCGUUCUGUAAGCCUGCGAAGGUGGCCUGUGAGGGUUGCUGGAGGUAUCAGAAGUGCGAAUGCUGACAUAAGUAACGAUAAAGCGGGUGAAAAGCCCGCUCGCCGGAAGACCAAGGGUUCCUGUCCAACGUUAAUCGGGGCAGGGUGAGUCGACCCCUAAGGCGAGGCCGAAAGGCGUAGUCGAUGGGAAACGGGUUAAUAUUCCCGUACUUGGUGUUACUGCGAAGGGGGGACGGAGAAGGCUAUGUUGGCCGGGCGACGGUUGUCCCGGUUUAAGCGUGUAGGCUGGUUUUCCGUGCAAAUCCGGAAAAUCAAGGCUGAGGCGUGAUGACGAGGCACUACGGUGCUGAAGCAACAAAUGCCCUGCUUCCCAGAAAAGCCUCUAAGCAUCAGGUAACAUCAAAUCGUACCCCAAACCGACACAGGUGGUCAGGUAGAGAAUACCAAGGCGCUUGAGAGAACUCGGGUGAAGGAACUAGGCAAAAUGGUGCCGUAACUUCGGGAGAAGGCACGCUGACACGUAGGUGAAGUGAUUUACUCAUGGAGCUGAAGUCAGUCGAAGAUACCAGCUGGCUGCAACUGUUUAUUAAAAACACAGCACUGUGCAAACACGAAAGUGGACGUAUACGGUGUGACGCCUGCCCGGUGCCGGAAGGUUAAUUGAUGGGGUCAGAACGGUCCUAAGGUAGCGAAAUUCCUUGUCGGGUAAGUUCCGACCUGCACGAAUGGCGUAAUGAUGGCCGUGCUGUCUCCACCCGAGACUCAGUGAAAUUGAACUCGCUGUGAAGAUGCAGUGUACCCGCGGCAAGACGGAAAGACCCCGUGAACCUUUACUAUAGCUUGACACUGAACAUUGAGCCUUGAUGUGUAGGAUAGGUGGGAGGCUUUGAAGUGUGGACGCCAGUCUGCAUGGAGCCGACCUUGAAAUACCACCCUUUAAUGUUUGAUGUUCUAACGUGGACCCGUUACCCGGGUUGCGGACAGUGUCUGGUGGGUAGUUUGACUGGGGCGGUCUCCUCCUAAAGAGUAACGGAGGAGCACGAAGGUUGGCUAAUCCCGGUCGGACAUCAGGAGGUUAGUGCAAUGGCAUAAGCCAGCUUGACUGCGAGCGUGACGGCGCGAGCAGGUGCGAAAGCAGGUCAUAGUGAUCCGGUGGUUCUGAAUGGAAGGGCCAUCGCUCAACGGAUAAAAGGUACUCCGGGGAUAACAGGCUGAUACCGCCCAAGAGUUCAUAUCGACGGCGGUGUUUGGCACCUCGAUGUCGGCUCAUCACAUCCCGGGGCUGAAGUAGGUCCCAAGGGUAUGGCUGUUCGCCAUUUAAAGUGGUACGCGAGCUGGGUUUAGAACGUCGUGAGACAGUUCGGUCCCUAUCUGCCGUGGGCGCUGGAGAACUGAGGGGGCUGCUCCUAGUACGAGAGGACCGGAGUGGACGCAUCACUGGUGUUCGGGUUGUCAUGCCAAUGGCACUGCCCGGUAGCUAAAUGCGGAAGAGAUAAGUGCUGAAAGCAUCUAAGCACGAAACUUGCCCCGAGAUGAGUUCUCCCUGAGACUUAGAGUCUCCUGAAGGAACGUUGAAGACGACGACGUUGAUAGGCCGGGUGUGUAAGCGCAGCGAUGCGUUGAGCUAACCGGUACUAAUGAACCGUGAGGCUUAACCUU
rnacentral:rRNA from 1 species